GACAGAGGAUGCAAGCGUUAUCCGGAAUGAUUGGGCGUAAAGCGUCUGUAGGUGGCUUUUUAAGUCCGCCGUCAAAUCCCAGGGCUCAACCCUGGACAGGCGGUGGAAACUACCAAGCUGGAGUACGGUAGGGGCAGAGGGAAUUUCCGGUGGAGCGGUGAAAUGCGCAGAUAUCGGGAAGAACACCGGUGGCGAAGGCGGCUCUCUGGACCUGUCCUGACGCUCAGGCGCGAAAGCUAGGGGAGCGAAUGGG
rnacentral:rRNA from 1 species